GUUAAUAGGUUGCUUAGAAAAUGCAAGGUUUGGUGUUGUAUCAGAAUCGAAGUGCUACAAACCUGGAGUGAAACGUUUGGCCAGAGCUGACAAGCAUCUAGACCUGCUGUCCAGCACUUCACAGAAGUGUGCCUCAUCGUCCAUUUAUGGCUAUUUUAAGGGAGACUUUGCUUGCCAGACUCAUUCCCUUCUGCAGAGAGCAAUUAAAGAUUUCCUGGGGCGAGGCGCUAGCCUAAGCAGGACAAGAGAUGAAGAGGAGCUGCCGUAGCAAGAGGACUUUUGUUUAAAACUGAAGAACAAACAAACUGAAGCAAGCCUUGGAUUGUAUCCACUCAACUGCAGAAGAAAGGGCUGUGUGCAGCACACAUUUUCAUUAGCUGCAGUUCUGUCCCUAUCACCGAAGCAGAACGAGGAAAGGGCACUUUGUGAUCUGUUGGGACUAAAGGCACAAGAGAGCACAGCUUGAUGGGCUGGACUCGUUAUCUUGCCUCUGCCCCAGCAGAUCAGUUACAGCAAGGGUGAAGCUGACAAGAUAACUGGAGAGGCAAAAUUAGCGGAGUGUGGAAUUUGCUCCUAAGUGGCUGCUGGCAUGAAGCGAGUUAGUCAGAACAAGUACCUCUGGCCACAGCAGUGACAGCGAGGACCCCACAACUACCUGUGAAAACUGAGCAACGAAGGUCAUCAAGCACUGGGCGGUGGAUGAGUAGAGUCCAGCCAGAGGUGUGGUGGCUGAGGAAGAGCAUCCCAAUAGCUUUACAGCAGGAGCAAUGACCCUUACUUUGUUUCUGCAGGAAAUGAGGAUCAUUUUUGAGCUAGAGAAGACAAGCUUAUUCAGGUCUCCUCUGUUCUACCUCUUGGACACUCGAGAGAGGCAUUCAGCCACAGUCCUUUUAAGACAACAGUCAGAAAGGGGCUGAAAUGCCAGCAUGUGCUCUGCAUUCGGCCACAACUGGUGAGACAGCAGAGGAAGAUGCCAAUCCAAACUAAUCAGCUUGCACAGGGGCAUGAGUUUCUCUGGCUGAAGUCAUUGUGGAAGGGGAACUGGUUGACAUCAGCAGUCACCUGUAUGCAACUUCAUUCCUAAAAGGUGUCUGAUGUAUGGUUUUGGCUUGGCUUGUUCCAUCUUACAGAAGCUUACCCUGCCAUACCUUUGCCAGUGGACAAGGACAGGCAGCUUUACUGACCUCAAUGAAUCUUGAGAAGACACUGCUGGUAAAUGUUUGUUGGAUUUCACAACAGAUCACUUCGUUUACACCUGAGGAAUAUGGUUGCAGAUGUUGUUAUGCUUGCUGCCUUUGCAUACGCGUGAUUGGGUAACUCUACCAGACGUGGAAUAUCUGCCUCUCUCCGUGUGGCUGGGUGAAUCCAAACCACACAAACGAACAGCAGCAAAUUCCAGACAAAAAAAGGUACCCUUGCGUUAAGGAUUAGAUCUGUCUUUGCUGAAGUCUCUUUGUGGAAUUUAAGCUCUCAUGACUGUGUGUAAAACAGCUGCUGCCCAAGGGGGUAGUUCUCCUUCCCCUUCAUCCACUUUUUCCUCUUUGUUUUGGUUUUAUUGCUCAGACAACAGAGCAGAACAUCAUACUGCUAGCAGAUUAAAUGUGUAAUCUCACUCUUCUUUGUUUAAAGUGACAACUCUAUACUUCUUACAGUAAUCUGAAGGAAGGUAAGGCUGCAGAAAGGCUCCAGGCACAUCUGCAUUUUCUCACAGUCUAAAGACUAUUCAGUCCUAUUUAUUCUUUUACAGUAGGAGAGGGAAUCCCUCUGUCAUUCAGAGCACCAGGGGCCUAUAUUCUGCCCACAGUUGAGAUGAGAAAGAUCUUCGGUCAAGAAGAGAAACUCAAGAGGAGCUUUUCAAUACCUAGAGCUGCUUUCUUUUUAUAAUUGAAUAUAAGGAAAAUGAUCAGACUUUGGGGCUAGAAAAAGGCAAGAUGAUUAGUUGAAAAGGAAAAUAGUUUUUUUUCUACUUCACUGUAUUAUGGGCAGAUGCACUGAAGUAAAUAAAGUUCAAGUGCAAAUUGCAUCAGAUAAGGAAGUAAUUCCAGUGGUGAAAGUCAUGCCUAGUAUAGUACCAGCAGCAUUUAUGAAGUGAUAACAAGGAUACAGCUGAAUCAACAAUGCUGCAUAUUUAUAUCACUGGUGCGAUAGUGUCACAUUCUGACAAAUAUCUGUAACAUAUUACUUCUACCAGCUCAACUCGGUGUUUGGUUCCAGCAGGCUAAACCCAGAACAACUGAACCAAAGCCGGUGGAGGUACUUCAGAUGUCAAUGAUUGGAACAAAGAAUGUGAAUUUGCACUUAGCAUUUAUAUAGUCCCUUUAAUCUUCAAAGAGCAUCACAAACAUUAGGUAGUUCUAAUUUUCUCACUACGACCUUGAUGCUAACCUUUUGGGAUAAAAGUGAUAUACUAGAAGAAAAAACCUGAUAAGAUGUGUAAUCAAGCAUACAGUAGGCUUCAGAUGUAUAAGCUAUCUCUGCCUUAGCCUCUCUCUCUGCGCUUCACGGUAGAUUUUAUCCCAUCCAGAAUAUAAGGCCUUUUACCAUGGCUCAGGUAUUAAUUCACCAUACAAUGUAUUUUGCUAACAUAAGAUGAUGAUAAUAAUCCUUGAAUAGCAGAUUUAUUAUUAUAGCUAUAGGAUACAGCUAUUCCUGUUUGAAGCGAUAAAGAACUCAAAACACUAUUGUAUUAAAAAACUUACUGGAAGCUGCCACAGGACAAGCCAGAGACACAUGUAGGUUAGCUGUUGGGAUUUCAUGCCUUUGAAGUCCUUCUCUUCAGUCAUUCUGGGAUUUGUUUGUUCAUUCCUUGCAAUUCAAAUUAGGAAUUUUCUAAGUCUCUUUUAGAGAGCUUUCUCAGAAGCAGCAGAAGCUUCCUUUAUGUAUCAGUUCUCUCUGCCCUCCAACUCAGAUUUGCAAUUUGGUUAUCAAUUUGGGGUGGCUCCAAGCCCUGAAUCUCGAAUGAGUUCCUCAUGUUCCAGUUGCUUGCACACUUUAUGCAGAGGAAUAGACUGAAGCAGGCAGUUCUCAUUUUCAUGGUGACCCAGAACAGCUAUUGUUACAAGAACACCUUUAAUCUCCUGUUUCUGUUUUUGAAUUGAAUUCAAGUGCAGGGAGAUGAAAGAAAGCGUCUCACAAA